rnacentral:tRNA from 1 species
GCCCUUGUAGCUCAGCUGGAUAGAGCAAGCGGUUCCUAACUGCUAGGUCGGGAGUUCGAAUCUCUUCAAGGGCGCCA